rnacentral:piRNA from 1 species
UAAUAAUGUGCAUAGGAUGUGUCACAUUGC